rnacentral:lncRNA from 1 species
GACAGCCGGGCAAACCGCGCAAUGCGCUUCUUCUGCCCGCCGCAGAGAAAAGGAAAGAAAACUCCGCAGGGGCUCCGUUGGCUUCUCCACGAGUGACAACCAUGCUUUCCCAGAUAGAAGACCGGAGCCCUGCUCCUUUGCGAUCCGCCGAGGGCUGCAAAGAGCAUCCUCAUCCAUUUGGGCACCCCUGCCCAGGAAGAGCCCGGCCAUCCCUUUCCAGACUGGAUCCUUCAGAGGUGAAUUUUCUUCGGUGGAUUCCGAUUUGCUCCGUCUGACCAACCUAGGCAAUCCAGCAUCGCGUGGUACCAGUGCCGCUGGGCACACUCGCUUCACGCCGGCUCCGCCUUACCAGCAAGCGCAUUCCCAGAUGGAGUCUCACUCUGUCGCCCAGACUGGAGUGCAGUGAAGCGAUCUCAGCUCACUGCAACCUCCACCCUCCCGGGUUCAAGUAAUUCUCCUGCCUCAGCCUCCUAAGCAGCUAGGAUUACAGGCAUGCGCCAUCAUAUCUGGCCGUAGCCCUUAUUUUAAAUUCAAUGUACUGUAAUGAUUUACUUGGUUUAUUGUCUUAAUUUUCUGUUCCACUGGAAUACAGGUUCAAUAAGAGAGGAAUUUUAAUCAGUUUUGUUCUCUGAAGUGUCUUCAGAACCAAAUGAGUAAAAAAUUAUCAUUGUUAACGUUUUCACUUCGUGCUAGCAUAUAGGCAAUCUCAAUUUAUUUCUAAUAACUGCCUGUAUCUUUC